rnacentral:rRNA from 1 species
GACGAACGCUGGCGGCGUGCUUAACACAUGCAAGUCGAACGGUAAGGCCCUUCGGGGUACACGAGUGGCGAACGGGUGAGUAACACGUGGGUGAUCUGCCCUGCACUUCGGGAUAAGCCUGGGAAACUGGGUCUAAUACCGGAUAGGACUCCUGGCUUCAUGGUUGGGGGUGGAAAGCUUUUGCGGUGUGGGAUGGGCGCGCGGCCUAUCAGCUUGUUGGUGGGGUAAUGGCCUACCAAGGCGACGACGGGUAGCCGGCCUGAGAGGGUGACCGGUCACACUGGGACUGGGAUACGGCCCAGACUCCUACGGGAGGCAGCAGUGGGGAAUAUUGCACAAUGGGCGCAAGCCUGAUGCAGCGACGCCGCGUGAGGGAUGACGGCCUUCGGGUUGUAAACCUCUUUCAGCUAUGACGAAGCGCAAGUGACGGUAGUAGCAGAAGAAGGACCGGCCAACUACGUGCCAGCCGCCGCGGUAA